rnacentral:rRNA from 1 species
GAAAGCGUGGGGGAGCAAAACAAGGAUUUAGAUACCCUGGUAGUCCACCGCCCGUAAACGAUGUCGACUUGGAGAGUUGUGCCCCUGGAGGGCGUGGGCUUCCGGGAGGUAACGCGUUAAGUCGACCGCCUGGGGAGUACGGCCGCAAGGUUAAAACUCAAAUGAAUUGACGGGGGCCCGCACAAGCGGUGGAGCAUGUGGUUUAAUUCGAUGCAACGCGAAGAACCUUACCUACUCUUGACAUCCAGAGAACUUUCCAGAGAUGGAUUGGUGCCUUCGGGAACUCUGAGACAGGUGCUGCAUGGCUGUCGUCAGCUCGUGUUGUGAAAUGUUGGGUUAAGUCCCGCAACGAGCGCAACCCUUAUCCUUUGUUGCCAGCGGUUCGGCCGGGAACUCAAAGGAGACUGCCAGUGAUAAACUGGAGGAAGGUGGGGAUGACGUCAAGUCAUCAUGGCCCUUACGAGUAGGGCUACACACGUGCUACAAUGGCGCAUACAAAGAGAAGCGACCUCGCGAGAGCAAGCGGACCUCAUAAAGUGCGUCGUAGUCCGGAUUGGAGUCUGCAACUCGACUCCAUGAAGUCGGAAUCGCUAGUAAUCGUAGAUCAGAAUGCUACGGUGAAUACGUUCCCGGGCCUUGUACACACCGCCCGUCACACCA